rnacentral:misc_RNA from 1 species
GUCGAGGGGCACUAGAUAACCAACACAAUCCUUCCAACAUUUGAUAGCAGUGACGUCCCUAAUGCCUGCUUCUUUUUGAGUUGUCGAGGGCAGAGCACUUUGAGAUGCAUCCUUAUGAUGCCGCGGUUUCAUCGGGUACACAUGAUUUAAAGCAUCAAUUUGGUUAUCUGCUUACAUUGCAUUACAUGACAUAAAGUAGUGAUUACAAGCGAAGCACAAGCAGAAGCUAUAACCAAUUUUCUCUGCUUGCAAGAUUAAAAAGGAUUU